UCGGGAAUUUUGCACAAUGGCCGAAAGGCUGAUGCAGCAACGCCGCGUGAGCGAAGAAGGCCUUCGGGUUGUAAAGCCCUGUUGCCUGCGAAGAAGGGCCCUGUCAGGAAAUGGGCGGGGUUUGACGGUAGCAGGCGAGGAAGCCCCGGCAAACUACGUGCCAGCAGCCGCGGUAAUACGUAGGGGGCGAGCGUUGUCCGGAAUUACUGGGCGUAAAGGGCGUGUAGGCGGCCUGUUAAGUCAGGGGUGAAAGACCGGGGCUCAACCCCGGGGGUGCCUCUGAAACUGGCGGGCUUGAGUGCUCUAGAGGGCAGUGGAAUUCCCGGUGUAGCAGUGAAAUGCGUAGAGAUCGGGAGGAACACCAGUGGCGAAGGCGGCUGCCUGGGGAGUCACUGACGCUGAGGCGCGAAAGCUAGGGGAGCAAACAGG
rnacentral:rRNA from 1 species